UGGACAGAAAGACCCUAUGAAGCUUUACUGUAACUUGAAAUUGAAAUUGGACUUUAUUUGCGCAGUAUAGGUGGGAGGCAUAGAAAGAUUUUUGCGGAAAUACUGGAGCCAUUAGUGAGAUACCACCCCUAUAAUGUUAGAUUUCUAACUUUUACCAUUAUCUGGUAAAAGAACAGUUUCAGGCGGGCAGUUUGACUGGGGCGGUCGCCUCCUAAAUGGUAACGGAGGCGCACAAAGGUUUCCUCUGAACGGGUAGAAAUCGUAUCUAGAGUGUAAAGGCAAAAGGAAGCUUGACUGUGAGACUUACAAGUCAAGCAGGGACGAAAGUCGGUCUUAGUGAUCUGACGGUGCUGAGUGGAAAGGCCGUCACUCAACGGAUAAAAGUUACUCUAGGGAUAACAGGCU
rnacentral:rRNA from 1 species